UACGGAAGGUGCGAGCGUUAAUCGGAAUUACUGGGCGUAAAGCGCACGUAGGUGGUUUUAUAAGUCGGAUGUGAAAGCCCCGGGCUUAACCUGGGAAUUGCAUCUGAUACUGUCUGACUAGAGUAUGCUAGAGGGAAGUGGAAUUCCAGGUGUAGCGGUGAAAUGCGUAGAGAUCUGGAGGAACACCGAUGGCGAAGGCAGCCUUCUGGGCCAACACUGACGCUCAUGCACGAAAGCGUGGGGAGCAAACAGG
rnacentral:rRNA from 1 species